rnacentral:piRNA from 1 species
UGUUGUAUGUGAUAGUGCUUUUCUUUCAGA